GAUGAACGCUGGCGGCGUGCCUAAUACAUGCAAGUCGAGCGAACAGAUGAGGAGCUUGCUCCUCUGACGUUAGCGGCGGACGGGUGAGUAACACGUGGAUAACCUACCUAUAAGACUGGGAUAACUUCGGGAAACCGGAGCUAAUACCGGAUAAUAUAUUGAACCGCAUGGUUCAAUAGUGAAAGACGGUUUUGCUGUCACUUAUAGAUGGAUCCGCGCCGCAUUAGCUAGUUGGUAAGGUAACGGCUUACCAAGGCAACGAUGCGUAGCCGACCUGAGAGGGUGAUCGGCCACACUGGAACUGAGACACGGUCCAGACUCCUACGGGAGGCAGCAGUAGGGAAUCUUCCGCAAUGGGCGAAAGCCUGACGGAGCAACGCCGCGUGAGUGAUGAAUGUCUUCGGAUCGUAAAACUCUGUUAUUAGGGAAGAACAAAUGUGUAAGUAACUAUGCACGUCUUGACGGUACCUAAUCAGAAAGCCACGGCUAACUACGUG
rnacentral:rRNA from 1 species